CUGUAUUCUGGUUACCCAUUUUGCUGUGCACUAUUUCAUUUUUACAUUUAUUUAUCAUAUCAUGGUGUUAUAUAUUUAUUUGUGACAUUUUCAUUUAUUUUCAAAAUCCUUAUUUUUACUUCAGUUAUAUUUAUAUCUAUAUGUUACAUUUUUCACUGGCUUUUUUUUAAUAAUGAAGAAUCAAUUCACCAUCAAUUCAUACAUGUGACUUUAAGAGAUCUACUCUAUGUUGAACAUUACAUUAGAAUUACAAAAAGAGUUCUAAGCUUGAUGUGGAAGCCUAACUUGGAACUUUUGUUAUUAGGUAUUUGUUGAUGCAUUUUAUAAAAACACUGAAGUAUUUGAACCAUGACCUUCAUAUUGCAUGGAAUCUUCAGGUCUACAUAUUGAAAUAUCUUUAAUUAAUAUAUCUGUGGGUGAUAUUUGCUCAUUAAAUUGUGAAAUGGUUUUUAUAUAAAACAA